rnacentral:rRNA from 1 species
UACGGGGGGGAGCAAGCGUUGUUCGGAUUUACUGGGCGUAAAGAGCGCGCAGGCGGUCGUUCAAGUCGCGUGUGAAAGCCCCCCGGCUCAACUGGGGAGGGUCACGCGAUACUGAUCGACUCGAAGGCAGGAGAGGGAAGUGGAAUUCCCCGGUGUAGUGGUGAAAUGCGUAGAUAUGGGGGAGGAACACCGGUGGCGAAGGCGGCCACCUGGACGGUCACUGACGCUGAGACGCGAAAGCGUGGGGAGCAAACAGG